GAAGGUAGCGUAAUCAUUUGUCUUUUAAAUAGAGACCUGUAUGAAUGGCAUAACGAGGGUUUAACUGUCUCCCUCCCCUAGUCAAUGAAAUUGAUCUGCCCGUGCAGAAGCGGACAUAAAUACAUAAGACGAGAAGACCCUAUGGAGCUUUAGACAAAAGAUCAAACAUGUAAAGAAACCAAACUAACCAAAAGGAACACAAAGGCCACAAAACCCGACGUAAAAUGAUCCAAAUGUCUUCGGUUGGGGCGACCAUGGGGGAAAGAAAAACCCCCACGAGGAACCAGGGGCAAUCCAUUAAGCCAAGAAAUACACCUCUAAGCAACAGAAAAUCUGACCAAAAAUGACCCAGGACACUAAUCCUGAUCAACGAACCAAGUUACCCUAGGGAUAACAGCGCAAUCCUUUCCCAGAGUCCAUAUCGACGAAAGGGUUUACGACCUCGAUGUUGGAUCAGGACAUCCUAAUGGUGCAGCCGCUAUUAAGGGUUCGUUUGUUCAACGAUUAA
rnacentral:rRNA from 1 species